rnacentral:rRNA from 1 species
GAUGAACGCUAGCGACAGGCUUAACACAUGCAAGUCGAGGGGCAGCGGGGGCAGCAAUGCCUGCCGGCGACCGGCGCACGGGUGAGUAACGCGCAUGCAACUUGCCUAUCAGAGGGGAAUAGCCCGGCGAAAGUCGGAUUAAUGCUCCAUAAAACAGGGGUCCCGCAUGGGAAUAUUUGUUAAAGAUUCAUCGCUGAUAGAUAGGCAUGCGUUCCAUUAGGCAGUUGGCGGGGUAACGGCCCACCAAACCGACGAUGGAUAGGGGUUCUGAGAGGAAGGUCCCCCACAUUGGAACUGAGACACGGUCCAA